UACAGAGGUCCCAAGCGUUGUUCGGAUUCACUGGGCGUAAAGGGAGCGUAGGCGGUCGGGUAAGUCUGAUGUGAAAUCUCACAGCUUAACUGUGAAACUGCAUUGGAUACUAUCCGGCUAGAGGAAUGGAGGGGAGACUGGAAUACUUGGUGUAGCAGUGAAAUGCGUAGAUAUCAAGUGGAACACCAGUGGCGAAGGCGAGUCUCUGGACAUUUCCUGACGCUGAGGCACGAAAGCCAGGGGAGCAAACGGG
rnacentral:rRNA from 1 species